rnacentral:rRNA from 1 species
AAAGGCGUAGUCGAUGGGAAACGGGUUAAUAUUCCCGUACUUGGUGUUACUGCGAAGGGGGGACGGAGAAGGCUAUGUUGGCCGGGCGACGGUUGUCCCGGUUUAAGCGUGUAGGCUGGUUUUCCAGGCAAAUCCGGAAAAUCAAGGCUGAGGCGUGAUGACGAGGCACUACGGUGCUGAAGCAACAAAUGCCCUGCUUCCAGGAAAAGCCUCUAAGCAUCAGGUAACAUCAAAUCGUACCCCAAACCGACACAGGUGGUCAGGUAGAGAAUACCAAGGCGCUUGAGAGAACUCGGGUGAAGGAACUAGGCAAAAUGGUGCCGUAACUUCGGGAGAAGGCACGCUGACACGUAGGUGAAGUGAUUUACUCAUGGAGCUGAAGUCAGUCGAAGAUACCAGCUGGCUGCAACUGUUUAUUAAAAACACAGCACUGUGCAAACACGAAAGUGGACGUAUACGGUGUGACGCCUGCCCGGUGCCGGAAGGUUAAUUGAUGGGGUCAGCGCAAGCGAAGCUCCUGAUCGAAGCCCCGGUAAACGGCGGCCGUAACUAUAACGGUCCUAAGGUAGCGAAAUUCCUUGUCGGGUAAGUUCCGACCUGCACGAAUGGCGUAAUGAUGGCCAGGCUGUCUCCACCCGAGACUCAGUGAAAUUGAACUCGCUGUGAAGAUGCAGUGUACCCGCGGCAAGACGGAAAGACCCCGUGAACCUUUACUAUAGCUUGACACUGAACAUUGAGCCUUGAUGUGUAGGAUAGGUGGGAGGCUUUGAAGUGUGGACGCCAGUCUGCAUGGAGCCGACCUUGAAAUACCACCCUUUAAUGUUUGAUGUUCUAACGUGGACCCGUUACCCGGGUUGCGGACAGUGUCUGGUGGGUAGUUUGACUGGGGCGGUCUCCUCCUAAAGAGUAACGGAGGAGCACGAAGGUUGGCUAAUCCUGGUCGGACAUCAGGAGGUUAGUGCAAUGGCAUAAGCCAGCUUGACUGCGAGCGUGACGGCGCGAGCAGGUGCGAAAGCAGGUCAUAGUGAUCCGGUGGUUCUGAAUGGAAGGGCCAUCGCUCAACGGAUAAAAGGUACUCCGGGGAUAACAGGCUGAUACCGCCCAAGAGUUCAUAUCGACGGCGGUGUUUGGCACCUCGAUGUCGGCUCAUCACAUCCUGGGGCUGAAGUAGGUCCCAAGGGUAUGGCUGUUCGCCAUUUAAAGUGGUACGCGAGCUGGGUUUAGAACGUCGUGAGACAGUUCGGUCCCUAUCUGCCGUGGGCGCUGGAGAACUGAGGGGGGCUGCUCCUAGUACGAGAGGACCGGAGUGGACGCAUCACUGGUGUUCGGGUUGUCAUGCCAAUGGCACUGCCCGGUAGCUAAAUGCGGAAGAGAUAAGUGCUGAAAGCAUCUAAGCACGAAACUUGCCCCGA